rnacentral:lncRNA from 1 species
AUUCAUUGAUUUUCUCGUUGAUUGCCAUGUCAGCUUCAUCUCAUUAGUAGAGACCCGACUUUAGGGACUUAGAGGGGUGCUACGGUCUUUACCGUACCUUCCCGAUAAGUAACUUGACCCCCGAACUCGAUCCGGUUUCCCACAGACCGCCUUUUCCAAAAUAAGGAGUCACACUUAGGGUUUUUCUUUCUUAUUUUGUUUACCCUUUAAAAAUAAAACAAAAAUAAGUGGCGACUCCAA